rnacentral:lncRNA from 1 species
CCAAAGUUACACAGCAAAACUUUACCUUAUAUCCAUUUUUACUAACACUAAUAACACAUGCAUUCUUAACCAUACUUUGAAUCAGAUGCUUCAUGAUUGGCUUGGUUAUUUUUUAGGAACCAAUCCCUGGAUGGCAUGCUCUGUCCAUGUAUAACGUGAUUUUUACGUUUCAGGUUUAUCUUGUCCGUUGACGCUAGCUCCAGGGUGUUCCUGCUUAUCUUAGCUAGCAACAGACAUCCUGACUCCAGCAUACUGCUUGUUAAGCCACUAUUAACAACUUAACCUUUCAUACAAUGCAGACCAAGAAAUGAGGUCUUACUUAUGUCAAGUUACUUAUGCCCAGCCAGGCCUACAGAAAAUUGCCUUAUAAGAGCAGCUAAGGGAAAUCCCCAUCUAUAAUCGGACUCCCCCACCAUAGGGAAUUAGGUACAGUGCUCCUGUCAGCUAAUUUCUAAGUUAUUGUUUGCAAAAGAACUCUAUAGAGUUUUCACGUCUCCAUGCCCCUGGAAUCACAGUUAAAGUCCCUCCUCCCAAAAAAUCUGAAACUGCACUCCUGAAGUUGGACCUUUUGACAUCUGGGAAAGUGUGGAAAGACAGUUUAAAUUUAACCUAAUCACAAGAUCUU